AUACGUAGGGGGCGAGCGUUGUCCGGAAUGAUUGGGCGUAAAGGGCGCGUAGGCGGCCCGGUAAGUCUGGAGUGAAAGUCCUGUUUUUAAGAUGGGAAUUGCUUUGGAUACUGUCGGGCUUGAGUGCAGGAGAGGUAAGUGGAAUUCCCCGUGUAGCGGUGAAAUGCGUAGAGAUUGGGAGGAACACCAGUGGCGAAGGCGACUUACUGGACUGUAACUGACGCUGAGGCGCGAAAGUGUGGGGAGCAAACAGGAUUAGAUACCCUGGUAGUCCACACUGUAAACGAUGAAUACUAGGUGUGCGGGGACUGACCCCCUGCGUGCCGGCGUUAACACAAUAAGUAUUCCACCUGGGGAGUACGAUCGCAAGGUUGAAACUUAAAGGAAUUGACGGGG
rnacentral:rRNA from 1 species